rnacentral:lncRNA from 1 species
CUUUUCUGUGGUUUUAACAGCAAGACACAGCUCUGAAAGAAGUCAUAGUAUGCAAAUUUUCCGUUUUUCUUGAUAUCGUAUUUUGUCGUUAUUUGGUUAAUUUCUUCUUUGCUUAAAUCCAGAUGGAACUUCUCUACUAUUUCUAGGAACUCAGACACUGGGAUUUCUCCUAGCUUGCUGAUGUCCUUCUCUUGACACAGCUUCAGUAUGUCUCUCCAGGAACACUGGAUAUUCUUUCUUAUCUUAUUUUCUAUUUCUUCCCAUUUAGGGACAGGCACAGAACAUGCUGUUGUUGUCUGAGGACGGCUCGAUGCUGAUGUACUCUUCUGCCCCACUAGAGAAGAAGGUGUCUUGGGAUGCUCAGGCUGAGAAGAUGUGCAGGUAGCUGGGUUGGUAGAAGGCACGGGACUGGUAGCACUGGGAGUGGUUGAUGACAUUGUUAGAUGUUCUGAGCUGAAUUUCUUCAAGAAUUCCUGAUAUUUCAGUCAUCCACCAACACUGACAUCCACUGUGUUCCAAAGAUUUUCAAAUUGCUCUUCUGUC